CACUUUCUCUCAUUCGUCUGGCUCACCCUCCCGAGCGUCCGCUAACCCCUCACCAUCACCCACGUCUCCGCUGCCCUUUUGUCGCGUAUAUGAGUGCGCCGUUCUCCGAGCUCCUUUUAUUGACGUGUAUACAUACAUGACGUUCUCUGACAUUCCAUCACAGCUUCGUCAUCCUGCAAGACGAGCCACUCUCCCUGAGCUCUUUGGUGUUGCAGCGAGCUACUGUCAUCCCCGAGUGCUUUUGCGUGUAUAUACAUACAUAUAGAUAUCUGUGCAUCCUCCUCACUUCUAGAAGUGUUGCUCCCCUCAACUUUCUCUCCGCGGUCCACUGUGGCUUCUCGUCGCUGCAAGACUCAAGAGACAAACGCAUUUGGCAGUUCGCCAACAAACGAGCGAUUCCGCGUCGGCUCGGUUGCAGCGCACUGUGGACAGCUGUUCUGUGCUUCCCCCUUUCUUCACACCGGUCUUGAGGCGCCUUCCGUAUUCUUGGGGAAGCGAUGCCAACACGACAUGACAUGGAGGCGCUUCUGCGCGAGCUCAGCACCACCAGCGGCUCCAUUGCCGAGGCUGUUCGCUACGCCCACAAGUACCUGCAGUCGCCAGAGUGCCGGAGCACGGCAAUCGAUGUGUUCCCGCCGACGCAGCUGGCCCACUCGAUCGGCAAGCUCUGCCGAUGCCGCGGCAUGAUUCAGGAGGUGCAGCCUGAGCUUCAUCUGUUCUGUGCGUGCCGCCAGAACUUCUUCUCGUCCAGCGGCGCGCAGGAGGCGGCGGACGGGAAUGAGGUGCAAUACAUGGAUGCCGUUUCGCUGUACGUGAUCCCCGUCCCCGGCAACCUGCACUUUUACACCGCGGAUGAAACAUCGCGCACCUCCGGCGCCGCACACGGGGGCACCCUCCGUAAGCGCACCGACCGCGACGAGGACGCCCUGACGGGGGUUCCUACGAGCAGCACCGAGGAGGAGCGCAUGCGGAAGUGCGUCAGGCACACAAGCAGCAAGAGCGACACCGUUACUGCAACGGCACAGUCAUGCAGUUUGCCCGUCUUUGGCCCAUCUCUGAACUUCCCGCAUCCUUCGUGCAGCCGGCAGCUUCAAGGGGCGUGCGUCGUCACGGUGCUGCUCCCGGCCGAGAAUGGUGCACGUCAGAAUCCGUUUCGCAUAAAUGAUGUGAUAGAUUUCUAUGGUUACCAGCACUUCCCCGACGACCAACUGCAGGUGAACGACGUUGACGACUUCGAGCGCUUUAGUGCGUGGAAUGCCACAGAAUUGUCAAGAGGUCUUGUAAGCAGACUCCUCUGCCUCUCCUACACACUGGUGAGCUCUCUUCAGGUGCGACGGCACAUAUCGACUCCGCCGCUCAUCGCGUUGCCCAUGACAGCAGCUCGCACAAACGCCAUCGCAUACCUUACAUGCACACUGACCAAAGGCGAUGCACUGACUGCAGAGUACCUGCUCCUUCAUCUGUGCGCAAGAGUGAGCAUGCACAGCGCAUCCACGCCUGUCGGCGACCUUCCGCUGCUGAUCAGUUCCCCUCAGUUGGUUGCCGCGGAGUGGUCGGCGCAGUUGCGUGACAUCGUGCCUGUGGCGGAGAUUCUUCUCACAGGCGAGGUGCUCCGGGCGCUUCCACACGGCCGUGUCACCCCAAAGUACAACAACGACCUUAACUAUCUGGAGACGGGUGUUUUGCAGGUAGCCAACGGCACCCACGUCACGAUAGACUGCGCGUCGCUAGGCUCACGCGAUGAGGCGUGGUACGAAGGGAUGUUUGCGCUGAUUCACAAGCAGCAGCUGUUGCUCGAGUACCCUUAUCAGACACUGGAGCUGCCAGUCGACGUCUCCACGCUCGCGGUGGACGGCAGAGAUACGCCAGACGCCGUGCACCCGCUCUUUCGUUUUGCCAUGCGUCUACGGUGGAGUCCUGACCCGAGAAUACCCCCUCAGGAGGCUGCCCAGACGCACCAUGUCAGCAGCGGUGCAGUGCGAGAUUAUCUCGACGCUGUCCGAUGUCUUGACACGCCGUCGCCGGUGGACGACACAUUAUCGGACAGGGCGUCACGCGCGCUUUUCGAGAUGUCACGAAACCUGCCAGGGUGGAAUAACCGAGAUCCGCUCCUGCAUAACAAUUCCUUCUCAGUAGCGAUGGCGCUCAUGCGGUCACACGCGGCGAGCCACGGACGCCGCGACGUCGUUGCGGAGGAUAUUGCCGCUGUCUGCGAGCUCGAACGGGCGCGCAUGGAGCGCCUCCACGCAAACCCGCCCUCGGUGCCUCCAACGGCAUCUUCAGUCGCUGAGUAAGCAGCUCGUGCUAGCAUGGAUGCCGCCAGCGCCCGCAGCAGUUCAGGCAGCUACACGCAACCUCCUGUUCACUCGAACCCACGGCAACGAGCAUAGAAGGUGUCUUUCCUCUCCGAUGUGUAGGCGUACUCUCGGGACGCACCAAAGGAGGGAGAGGCUCAUGUAUAGAGAGCACUAGGAACGAAAACCGCCGCUUCCGACACAGAAAAGUGCGUACCACGCACACUGCAACCAUGACCGUUUCUUUGAAAGGACCACCGCACACACGCGAACUGGGACUACAUGACAGGCCGUUUCGCCGAACGCAGCAGAGCCAAUAAGCGUCCUCUAAGGCUGUGGUCUCGCC
rnacentral:misc_RNA from 1 species